AAGAGUUUAAGUUUAAUUAAACUUAAAGCCUUCAAAGCUUUCUACAAGAGUGCAAAUCUCUUAACUUUUG
rnacentral:tRNA from 1 species